rnacentral:rRNA from 1 species
UCAUACGGGAGGCAGGAGUGGGGAAUAUUGCACAAUGGGGGAAACCCUGAUGCAGCCAUGCCGCGUGUGUGAAGAACGCCUUCGGGUUGUAAAGCACUUUCCGUUGUGAGGAAAAGUUAGUAGUUAAUACCUGCUAGCCGUGACGUUUACAACAGAAGAAGCACCGGCUAACUCCGUGCCACCAGCCGCGGUAAUACGGAGGGGGCGAGCGUUAAUCGGAAUUACUGGGCGUAAAGCGCACGCAGGCGGUUUGUUAAGCUAGAUGUGAAAGCCCCGGGCUCAACCUGGGAUGGUCAUUUAGAACUGGCAAACUAGAGUCUUGGAGAGGGGAGUGGAAUUCCAGGUGUAGCGGUGAAAUGCGUAGAUAUCUGGAGGAACAUCAGUGGCGAAGGCAACUCCCUGGCCAAAGACUGACUCUCCUGUGCGAAAGUGUGUGUAGCGAACAGGAUUAGAUACCCUGGUAGUCCACACCGCACACGCUGCCCACUAGCUGGGUGAGCCUUUAAGACGUGUCGGGCGUACCUAACCCCCUA